CUAACAAGGAUUCCCCUAGUAACGGCGAGUGAAGCGGGAAGAGCUCAAAUUUGAAAUCUGGCAGUCUUCGAUUGUCCGAGUUGUAAUCUAUAGAGGCGUUUUCCGUGCCGGACCGUGUCCAAGUCUCCUGGAAAGGAGUAUCAAAGAGGGUGAUAAUCCCGUACUUAACACGACCACCGGUGCUCUGUGAUACGUCUUCUACGAGUCGAGUUGUUUGGGAAUGCAGCUCAAAAUGGGUGGUGAAUUCCAUCUAAAGCUAAAUAUUGGCGAGAGACCGAUAGCGAACAAGUACCGUGAGGGAAAGAUGAAAAGCACUUUGGAAAGAGAGUUAAACAGUACGUGAAAUUGUUGAAAGGGAAACGAUUGAAGUCAGUCGUGUUCUUUGGAUUCAGCCAGUUCUGCUGGUCUACUUCCUUGGAACGGGUCAACAUCAGUUUUGUCCGGUGGAUAAAGGUAGUAGGAAUGUGACUUCUCCGGAAGUGUUAUAGCCUAUUAUCACAUACACUGGGUGAGACUGAGGACUGCAGCUCGCCUUUAUGGCCGGCCUUCGGGCACGUUCGAGCUUAGGAUGUUGACAUAAUGGCUU
rnacentral:rRNA from 1 species